GUUCAUGGCCAUACCACCCUGAGUGUACCUGAUAUUGAAAGCUAAGUAGGGUUGGGCCUGGUUAGUAUUUGAGUAGGAGAAAGGGGUGGUGGUGGCUU
rnacentral:rRNA from 1 species